GACGAACGCUGGCGGCGUGCUUAACACAUGCAAGUCGAACGAUGAAGCUAGAGCUUGCUCUGGUGGAUUAGUGGCGAACGGGUGAGUAACACGUGAGUAACCUGCCCCGGACUCUGGGAUAACUGCUGGAAACGGUAGCUAAUACUGGAUACGACCAACGAAGGCAUCUUCUGUUGGUGGAAAGAAUUUCGGUUCGGGAUGGACUCGCGGCCGAUCAGCUUGUUGGUGAGGUAACGGCUCACCAAGGCGACGACGGGUAGCCGGCCUGAGAGGGUGAUCGGCCACACUGGGACUGAGACACGGCCCAGACUCCUACGGGAGGCAGCAGUGGGGAAUAUUGCACAAUGGGCGCAAGCCUGAUGCAGCAACGCCGCGUGAGGGACGACGGCCUUCGGGUUGUAAACCUCUUUUAGUAGGGAAGAAGCGAAAGUGACGGUACCUGCAGAAAAAGCACCGGCUAACUACGUGCCAGCCGCCGCUGUAA
rnacentral:rRNA from 1 species